UUUAACUAUUUACACCAUACAUUUUAAAGAAGCCGCUUUAUUCUGUACAUUUUUUAUAUUGCAAAAACUUAAUUUCGAUUAAGGCCAAUGUCUGGUAUUAACAAAUUACAAAAGUGUAUUGCUUAGCACGUUAUCUUUUACAUUAGCAUAACAAUAAGUAAUAAAUAAAUAAAUAAUUUCGUAUUAAUUUAAAUAUUUAUUACCUAAUAUAGGAGACUAAUUUUGCUGAUAGUUGCACUGAAGAACCUUGCGAUAAAUAAUAAAAUUAAAUGCAUGUUUAAAAGUAAGAGAAAAUAUAAAAGCAUAGGUACAUACUUAUUAAACUUUCAAAUGAUACAAAAAAUAUUAUGAGGAGUAUUCUGUUAAUACAUUAGUUAACAUCUCUCAAACGACCCUGUGUUCCAACCUCGUUUACAAUGAUAUUACCUUUUAUUCCUACAAUAUUAGCAUCACUUGUUAUAGUCCUUUUUUCUGUUGUUACGCUGAGAGUAUGGCUGAGAGAGGCAUUCAGAGAAAUAUUAAGUGCAAAAGAGCUGCAUAAUGUUGUAAUACUAAGCAAAUGCUUUUAUUCGUUCUCUUAGUCGAUCGAAAAAUACACAGGCACAAUUUCUACUUGAGCAAAGAUUACUUUUUAUUUGCAAUGGUUGACUUGUGAGCAGUUUCUAUUGAAAGAUCGGAUUUAAAGUCUACCUUCA